rnacentral:tRNA from 1 species
GCCGCCGGUUGGGCAAUACCAAAUGAAAAGAGCUGGUCAGGGCAGGUCUGAAAGCUCAUGCAGGCACGGCCUCCGGAGCCGUGUGCGCAGGUUCGAAUCCUGCCGGGGGCA